UGUAAUUGAAGGGUUAAGAUGCAAAAGCCUCUAAACGCUACCUCCGUCAAAAAUUAGAUAACCAUGGUGAGUGAAUGCUUUCCACACAU